UGUCGAGGGUCAGACCCAGAUACUUCAUGCUGGUUCGGACCGCGAUCUCAACCCCCUCCAAUCUCAGGCGAUAGCCUGCGUGGAGACGUCCCGUGAUCGGCCCUGCGGCAGAACCACAUUGCCUCGGCUUUCUCACGGGACAACUUCAGCCCCAAUUCCUUGAUCGCGGUCAUGCAGGCCACCGCCAGCUCCGCCAGACGGACGGUUCUGCCCCACGCCGUGCCCCAGACUAGCACCAACGUGUCGUCGACGUAGCACGCACAUCGGCAUCCGAGCGGGAAACUCGAGGGCUCGGCAUAUUCUGUGCCAGAGGAUGCUGUUGAAGACGUUGACCACGUCCAGCGACACGGCCAAUGCCAUGCAACCAUGCCGCUCGGCCUCCUCGACCAAGGAUCGGACACGGGCGACAGCGUCGGCCGUAGACCGUCUCCUCCGAGAAGUUUGCUUCUACCCGACUACACCAUGGUUAGCAGCCAAGCUGUCCGUAAGGUGGCGACGUCUGGCCAAGGAGACGCGAAUUAUAUUAUCAUGAACAUCACUCGAGACCAUCGCGUGCGCAAUAGAUUCCAUGUCUCGCAUGAUAGAUCUAACAUCGUACGCAACAUGGCGCCGACUGUCAGUCAUAGUACGCACCGUUAUUAUCUUCGCAACUCGAAUGUGAUAAAGUACCAAAAUCGCAAGAUGGUCGAGCAAGAUGUGCAAGUGUAAACCAUGUCACGCUCGCGAGUAUCAUUAAUUGUUCUAACAUCAUGCGUGUUUUAUCCAGAAAAACGUGCAGUGAUAUAAUAUGUCCCUUAGCCUGCAACGUAAUUGUAAUUAAGCACCUCGAUUGAAUUUAUGUGGCGACAUAUCCAGUGAAUUAACGGCGCCUGGACAAUUAUAUCUUCUUAAAAUUAACGGACCACCGACCUCGGCCAGGACUAUUAUGAUUCGCCUUCAUCACAGCCAUAACGAGCAUAAUAUUAACUACGACAAAAAACUAAAAUUAAUAAUUUGACUCUAACUACCGCCACUAUAAUACGACUGGCAUGUAUACUGUAUAAAUAAUUUAUAAUAAAUAACUUGUUUAUAAAUA